rnacentral:rRNA from 1 species
GAUGAACGCUGGCGGCGUGCCUAAUACAUGCAAGUCGAGCGAACAGACGAGGAGCUUGCUCCUCUGAUGUUAGCGGCGGACGGGUGAGUAACACGUGGAUAACCUACCUAUAAGACUGGGAUAACUUCGGGAAACCGGAGCUAAUACCGGAUAACAUGUUGAACCGCAUGGUUCAACAGUGAAAGACGGUCUUGCUGUCACUUAUAGAUGGAUCCGCGCCGCAUUAGCUAGUUGGUAAGGUAACGGCUUACCAAGGCAACGAUGCGUAGCCGACCUGAGAGGGUGAGCAGCCACACUGGAACUGAGACACGGUCCAGACGCCUACGGGAGGCAGCAGUAGGGAAUCUUGCGCAAUGGGCGAAAGCCUGACGGAGCAACGCCGCGUGAGUGAAGAAGGUCUUCGGGUCGUAAAACUCUGUUAUUAGGGAAGAACAAAUGUGUAAGUAACUAUGCACGUCUUGACGGUACCUAAUCAGAAAGCCACGGCUAACUACGUG